rnacentral:rRNA from 1 species
GAUGAACGCUGGCGGCGUGCCUAAUACAUGCAAGUCGAGCGAACGGACGAGAAGCUUGCUUCUCUGAUGUUAGCGGCGGACGGGUGAGUAACACGUGGAUAACCUACCUAUAAGACUGGGAUAACUUCGGGAAACCGGAGCUAAUACCGGAUAAUAUUUUGAACCGCAUGGUUCAAAAGUGAAAGACGGUCUUGCUGUCACUUAUAGAUGGAUCCGCGCUGCAUUAGCUAGUUGGUAAGGUAACGGCUUACCAAGGCAACGAUGCAUACCCGACCUGAGAGGGUGAUCGGCCACACUGGAACUGAGACACGGUCCAGACUCCUUCGGGAGGCAGCAGUAGGGAAUCUUCCGCAAUGGGCGAAAGCCUGACGGAGCAACGCCGCGUGAGUGAUGAAGGUCUUCGGAUCGUAAAACUCUGUUAUUAGGGAAGAACAUAUGUGUAAGUAACUGUGCACAUCUUGACGGUACCUAAUCAGAAAGCCACGGCUAACUACGUG